GAUGAACGCUGGCGGCGUGCCUAAUACAUGCAAGUCGAGCGAAUGGAUUAAGAGCUUGCUCUUAUGAAGUUAGCGGCGGACGGGUGAGUAACACGUGGGUAACCUGCCCAUAAGACUGGGAUAACUCCGGGAAACCGGGGCUAAUACCGGAUAACAUUUUGAACCGCAUGGUUCGAAAUUGAAAGGCGGCUUCGGCUGUCACUUAUGGAUGGACCCGCGUCGCAUUAGCUAGUUGGUGAGGUAACGGCUCGCCAAGGCAACGAUGCGUAGCCGACCUGAGAGGGUGAGAGGCCACACUGGGACUGAGACACGGCCCAGACUCCUACGGGAGGCAGCAGUAGGGAAUCUUCCGCAAUGGACGAAAGUCUGACGGAGCAACGCCGCGUGAGUGAUGAAGGCUUUCGGGUCGUAAAACUCUGUUGUUAGGGAAGAACAAGUGCUAGUUGAAUAAGCUGGCACCUUGACGGUACCUAACCAGAAAGCCACGGCUAACUACGUGCCAGCCGCCGCAGUAA
rnacentral:rRNA from 1 species